UACAGAGGGGGCAAGCGUUGUUCGGAAUUACUGGGCGUAAAGGGCUCGUAGGCGGCCAACUAAGUCAGACGUGAAAUCCCUCGGCUUAACCGGGGAACUGCAUCUGAUACUGGAUGGCUUGAGUUUGGGAGAGGGAUGCGGAAUUCCAGGUGUAGCGGUGAAAUGCGUAGAUAUCUGGAGGAACACCGGUGGCGAAGGCGGCAUCCUGGACCAACACUGACGCUGAGGAGCGAAAGCCAGGGGAGCAAACGGG
rnacentral:rRNA from 1 species